rfam:Cicer arietinum chromosome Ca4, whole genome shotgun sequence.
UGCUGUGAUGAUUAGAUGAAAUAAUCUCGUUAAUCUGAUUUAUUAUGAGGAUAAUUUUUCAUAUCCAUUCAUUAUUUUCUGAGC